rnacentral:tRNA from 1 species
GGAAAUAUAGCUCAAUGGUAGAGCGCUUACCUAACAUGUGAAAGGUUCUGGGUUCAAUCCUUAGUACUG